UAGGUAGGUAACAACUUAAUAAAGUUGCGGAAUUUUAAAACACUGUAAAGAUGCCUCAAUUUAACUAGUCAAUAAGUAGUCUCCUUACUAUAUCAAUAACUCUACUUAGUAUUUAUUAAAUAAAAAAAAUCUAAACCUAACCUUUAACGAAUAUUGUGCGACUGGUGAAAUAAACUUACCCAAUUCAAAGCCUGAAAAUAAUAUUCAACUAAGUGCAACAGUUACAAAUUCGGAUAUUUAAUACUUAAUUAUUUUUAUCAUAUUACAAUUAUAAUUCAUUUUUCUUCUUCCAUAAAUUAUUGGAUUGUAUAACUAGGUACUUUUAUAACGUCAAUAACAAUAUUACAAAAAAAUUGAAGCAAUCACUGCAUCCCAACAAUUAACAUUAAUUCAUUAUUUCAAUGCAAAUUAUUUAAUACUGGCGAUUCAUCUAUCAAUGGAAGGUUAUUGCUUUAUUUUCAACUUACUAAGUGAAAUACUUACAAACUACGCAAAUUCUUUACAUAAUGCACAAAAAUAUUAGUCAAUAUCUUAUUAUAUUUUUAUUUUAAUAUUCUAUAAGCAUGCUUCACAAGGCACUAUUCUAGCGAGAUUAACUAGUAACAUAAAGAAAACAAUUUGAACAAUUGCUAUUAAAUUCGGUUUGGAACUCCGAAAUGGGCCUAAAAUUACAUUUUAUGGCAAAAAAUUCAAGAUUGAAUUUUUUAUAUAAUUUAAAAACUAUCAUAAUUGAAGCGAGAAACCGGUUGCAAUUCACUUAUAUUAAUCACACCUUUGAAAACAUUAUAGAGAGUUCUCAGGGAUGCAAGUUUGAUCACAAGAUGUGUGCCUUCAUCGUUAAAUCCAGUGAUAUUUAUAACUCCGAAAUUUUAGAGAGGAGGCGGACGUCUAAACCACUAGGCUACCAGGGCUUUUUAGUCGAGAUUACACUAAUUAAAAUAAGUAAAUUUCCAGCCAGUUUCUUAUUACAACACCGAAUUUCAACGAAAGUUUAACUAAAUCAAAAAAUGUAGGUGCCUACUUAACAUGGAACAUCUAACACGCAACCUUGUAAACUCGAGUUAACAAAACUAUAACUAAGUACAUAAAUGCUCUAGCAACCAUGCUCUCGGAUAUUAUAUAAAUAAGCUUUAUAUUAUAAAUAUUUUAUCCUAUAACCUAAGUUGGCGUUUGUAUUGCUCUUUGCUAUAGAAGAAACUCUGAAUGGACGU